rnacentral:tRNA from 1 species
CGCGUAGCUCAGCUGGUUAGAGCACCACCUUGACAUGGUGGGGGUCGUUGGUUCGAUUCCAAUCGCG